GUGGGGUGCUAUCAUGUCAAUAUGGACCAACAUCUAUUAGGAAUGUUUCCAGCACCUUGAUGAAUCCGAGCCAUGAAGAAUUAAGGCAGAUCUAAAGACAAAAGGGAGUCCAAUCCGGUACUAGUAAGUGAAGUGGCCGACUGUGAGCUCCUCAAUGAGCAGGGAAUUACUUACGCACUCACCUGCAUGCUGUCCAUGGAUUAUGUUGAGUGUACCAUCUGGUGCCCCGGCAUCCUGGAGCAUUUUGGCCAAAAGCAUGGUGCAGCCUGGGACUCGCUCAGAGGGCUUCAUCAGGUAGGUGUUGCCGCACACCAUCCCGAUAGGGAACAUCCACAGAGGUAUCAUGGCGGGGAAGUUGAAA